ACGGAUUUUGAUAUCUUCUGUUUUGUGUAAAAAUAGGUAACUAUUGCGUACCUCUGCUGAGAUGUCAAAACACGAUCUUGAACAUCUAUUCAUCUUCUCGUCCGGAUGCAUUUUCAUCCGAAAUUUUUAUUGGGAUCAUCAUCUCACAAAACUUUGGAUGUUCUUCUGGCAAAACAUUAUUUGUACCUUGGAUUUGAUCAUCCUUUCAGUCAGUAGAGUAAGUCCUUUGCAACAGCUUCUGGUUUUUGCUGAUUGCGUGCUUGGGUCCAAGUUUUUUUUUUUUUUUUCAUUUCAUUUCCUAAUUGGGGAGGGAGUUCACUCAAUAUUGUAAUUCAAGGAAAAUAAGCUUGUAUGAUUGAUGAAUCUAGGUUUCAUGUCUUGAUAUAUAUAAACUUGGCUGUUCAUCAAAGAGCCCUAACAAAUUGAGAUCUCUUGACCUUGCUAUUAGCUGAAGGCAUUGAUAUAAGUUGGGGUAUUGUGUAUCAUUAUCUGUAUGUAUAUAUAUAUAUAGGGGUCAGGUUACAUAAUUCUCUUAUCAUCUGCUUGGUUCAGUUAUACUGAAAACUGCAUGAACAUUAUCCAAGCUGAUAUCUUCAUGACAUUCAAUUCCCACACACAAGCUCAGAAAAUGUUUGAAACCAAUUAUUCUCAACAAUCUCUUAUAUUGAGAGUUUUAGUAAUUUUACGUCAAAAAUUUUUGUUGGUCGAGAUCAAAUGUUACCCUUGUGGGGAUUAGUAUCAAAUAUUCCGGAGAUGAGCUUCUUUUUGUACUCUGUAUAUGAAAAAUCUUGGAUAUAUGUAUCUUCCUCAACUUGGAAAUUUAAAACUUGACGGCUUGACAAGCUUGACGGCUUCGACCGUCGGGAGAUAGCUCAGGCGUAAGAGUCAGUACAGGCGAUUACAAGGUUAACAAUGGAGGAUAAAAUAUCUAGUGUAUUGAGAGAGAAAAAAAUAUCAGUUACCUUUACUUGGACGACCUCCUUGCUAUGUUAUACUCUCUAGCCCGGUUUACCGUGCCACCCACUACCGUCAGACACUGCUCCCCACUACUCAGUGAUCGCAGCCAACAACAUGCCGACUGUCACCUUUUUCAUACUGUUUCUACCGCCGGCCGACUAUAAUCUCAUCCACAUUAAUGAUCUGCAGGCCACUCGGUCAACAGCCUUCCUUUUUCAUCAUUACAAGUCAAAGAUGGAGAUAUUAAAAUAUCUAGUGGGUUAGCCCACUCAAGUUGGCCCAAGUCUUUCAAGAUAUGUUCAUGAGGAUUAACUAAACUGGCCCAACUGACCAAGCCCAAUAGAGAUGACCCAAGAGAUUUAAUCAAAUGAACAGGCCCAAUCUACUCGGCCCAAUAUGUGAAAUAUCAUGACCUAACAUUGCCCCCUAGUUUUUUAUUCAACAAACUAUUUAAUAGAAAACUAUAAAUUACCCAUGAUAUGAAGAAUUUAAUAAAAUCAAAAGAUGCCCAAAUUAAACUUUAUCAAGGCCCAAACGGUAAGGAAGUAGAAUGAUAGGAUAAAUUGAAACCGGAAACCCAACUGAAAGGCCCAAAAGUUUAAAAAUGAAGGAUUGAACCAAACGAUACCCUUUCAAAUUCAUGAUUAUGACUGUCAAUUAAAUGUGCCGCCCUCGUGUACCGUGUAACCGUCAGUAUAAAAAGUAAACUUCACCAAACUUGACAGUUUUACCUGCCAAUUUGAAAUUUAGACGCUUGAGCUCUCUUAUUCUCUCUCGAACGUUUCUUCCCUUCUCUGCAAAAUUUCAACAAUGGUGGUCCUUAAUACGAAUCAGAUCUCCCCAAUUCGGGCAACCCCUCAUACUGUCGUUCCACCUAACCCAGGUCCCAACGAAGAAGCUUCGAGUUCUAACCCUCAAGCUGCGAAAUCAAGCACGAAUCCACCUCCAAACCUACUCCCUAUGAAUUCUUCAGAAGUAAGGAGCGUUUUUCACACGCCAAUACCCCUUCUGAAAUAACAGAGAUUGGUUUAAAGAAAAUCCGUACUCGAUAUCAAAUCUCUGAUACCAUCAGGUGAGAGCUCCACGGUCUGAAGAGCGAAUGUAUCAACGACCGGAAGGUUGGACGGCCGUUCCAGUGACCCUUCUGGAGAAAGGGGUUCGAUUCCCUUUGCACAUUUUCUUGAUUACCUUUCUAGGGUUUAUCGGCGUUGGAUUUGCCCAGUUGGUGCCGAACUCCUACAUUCAUAUCAUCGCCUUCAUCGCUUUUUGCCACGAAGUAGGAGUAGAGCCCACUCUUGACUUCUUCUUCACUAUUUACAAGAUUGGCCAAACCCGGGAAAAAGGGUUUAAGGCUUUGAGCAAAUUACCAUCGAAGUCAGGUGAGAAGUUCGAAAGACGCUCUCUAAUCAAUACUCCUUCCAGCAAUAGAGGAUGGCAUAAAGGGUGUUCUUCAUCAAAGGACCAGAAAUUGCUUCCUUACCGGGUUGGGUCACUGAAGAUGUAGUUUCUGCUGACUUCGGUGACAUCCCGGAAGAACGCGCAAGUGAAAUGAUAGAGCUGUUUAAAAACUUCCCAUCGAAAGAAUGGAAUUACUUGCUUCUUACUAAGCAAGCCUAGUUAUAUGAGCACAAAUGUAAGUUUUGAAUUAUUUGAUUGCACAAUUGUCUGAAAUUUUUAUUGAUAUAGAUUUUGACAUGUGACUUUCUGUUUUUCGUAGUAUCUUUGAUUAAACCGUCUUCUAUAGACGUGAGAUUAGCAAAUGGAUAAAUUUAAUAGGCUUUCAGAAACAUAUAUACCCAGCUCCUUUGCAGACUUGGAUAAAUCUAUGACAAUGUGUGGGUGUUGACUCAAUUACCUGAGAUGGAUUUUGAUAUCUUCUGUUUUGUGUAAAAAUAGGUAACUAUUGCGUACCUCUGCUGAGAUGUCAAAACACGAUCUUGAACAUCUAUUCAUCUUCUCGUCCGGAUGCAUUUUCAUCCGAAAUUUUUAUUGGGAUCAUCAUCUCACAAAACUUUGGAUGUUCUUCUGGCGAAACAUUAUUUGUACCUUGGAUUUGAUCAUCCUUUCAGUCAGUAGAGUAAGUCCUUUGCAACAGCUUCUGGUUUUUGCUGAUUGCGUGCUUGGGUCCAAGUUUUUUUUUUUUUUUUCAUUUCAUUUCCUAAUUGGGGAGGGAGUUCACUCAAUAUUGUAAUUCAAGGAAAAUAAGCUUGUAUGAUUGAUGAAUCUAGGUUUCAUGUCUUGAUAUAUAUAAACUUGGCUGUUCAUCAAAGAGCCCUAACAAAUUGAGAUCUCUUGAC
rnacentral:lncRNA from 1 species